CAAGGGAAGGGACUUGCUUGGCCAGCCCCAGGCAGACACAGACACAAGACUGGAGCAUUCAGAGUAGUACAGCCCCCUCUCUAACCUUAAACAGAAGUGAAUGAUCAGAGAGGAGAUAAAAAUGGCACCUCUUUAAUCCUCUUGGGUGCAGUUUACCCAACAACUGGAUUACCCCUGCUUACCUUCCUUGGAAAACACUCCCUCACACAAACCCAGCUCUGUUCAGCAGGAGAGCAGCAGUGAUGGAAACCUCGUGGUAGCUGGGAGGUCACAAAGCCCUGUGGAGCCCAGGAUCUUUUCAGCAGCCUGAAGUUAUGAGUCUCCACUCUUGACAGCUCCUUGGAUUCCACAGCGAGCACACCCUUCCCAGAGAAACAAACGCACUGUUUGGUCAACAGUGAAAUUGUUUAGUGGAGAGAAACCAACUCCGAUAAACGCUGCCAGCUCUGCCUGCCCUGGAGCACAGAAACCAAAAUAGAAAACAUGAAGCAAGGGAUACCACCCACUGCUGAAGAAGCCAAACCAGACAGAUGAGCCAACAAUGCGUGACAAAUGCUGCCUUUAUUGGAAAAGCACAAACAAUGGUCUGGCUGCCUCCCCAGAGCCAAGUUUCAGUGUCAGGGAGAGGAGUAAGAGGAGGAUCCCAUUUAAAAGGCGCCAGAACAGAAGUCUUAGGACAUAGUUUGUCUUCAUGCAGAAGGAUGGAGGAGACCUCACUGACCUGUUGCUCUCCUCUUGAUCUACAGAAGGACAGUGGUUUGGACAGUAUUUUUUUCUGAACAUGUUGCUUCCUUCACUGACAGUUGCACCUGAAUGAGCCAAGAAACCUCCCCCACUGCAGCCUCAAAAAGACAAAGUUUAUGGCCUCUUCCCUGUUGAAAUGGAGAAGAAACAGAUCAUUUUCCUGCACAACACACUAAUAAAACCUUUCCAGAAUCUGUCUGCUGGUGCCAAGGCAGCUCCUGCUCCUCCAAGCCAAAUUCCUGGAUUACACCAGGUGCAAGUCCCCUCCCACCUGGUAGCAGAGAAAUUACAGGUGGUUCCAAGAACCCAGGACAAACCCCAGUGAGCUUUCGAGAUCUCAGUGUUGUGAAACAGAACUUGAAAUAUUUCCCUGCAGCAAGAGUGGGACACAGAACCUCUGGAGCCUGUAGAUCAC